rnacentral:rRNA from 1 species
ACUCAAAUGAAUUGACGGGGACCCGCACAAGCGGUGGAGCAUGUGGUUUAAUUCGACGAUAAGCGAGGAACCUCACCAAGGUUUGACAUACGGCUGCAGACCCCUGGAAACAGGGGAGCCUUCGAGGGUGCCGUACAGAUGCUGCAUGGUUGUCGUCAGCUCGUGUCGUGAGAUGUACCGUUAAGUCGGGAAACGAGCGCAACCCUCACCCUAUGUUUUAUAUGUCAUAGGGAACUAUCCGCUAUAAGUGGGAGGAAGGUGGGGAUGACGUCAAAUCAGCAUGGUUCUUACACCUUGGGCGACACACGUGCUACAAUGGGCAGUACAACGGGACGCCAAGCAGUAAUGCGGAGCAAACCCCUUAAAACUGUCCUAAGUUCGGAUUGUGGGCUGCAACUCGCCCACAUGAAGCUGGAAUCGCUAGUAAACGCGCAUCAGCCACGGCGCGUUGAAUACGUUCUCGGGUCUUGUACACACCGCCCGU